CUUUGACUUUAAUUUUCCUUUACCUACCCAAAUCGUAUAAAAUGGCCCCACGCCGAUCCCUUCGCUGACUCUCUUUUCAGACUCAGCCCACCUGCACCCAGGUGAUUAAAAGCUUUAUUGCUCACACAAAGCCUGUUUGGUGGUCUCUUCACACUGAUGCGCAUGAAAUUUGGUGCCGUGACUCGGAUCGGGGGACCUCCCUUGGGAGAUCAAUCCCCUGUCCUCCUGUUCUUUGCUCCGUGAGAAAGAUCCACCUACGACCUCAGGUCCUCAGACCGACCAGCCCAAGAAACAUCUCACCAAUUUUAAAUCAGCCACUUCCAGAGGCCCUGGAACUCUGGCCCAAGGCUCUCUGACUGCUUCCCAGAUCUUCUCGGCUUAGCAGCUGAAGACUGACGCUGCCCGAUCGCCUCGGAAGCCCCCUAGACCAUCAUGGACGCCGAGCUUCAGGGCACCAGAAAACCCCAAGACCAGGAUUGAGCAUUCCUUUCACUCAGCCACAAGAGAGGACCCAGGAGCCAAAAGAAGCCAGGAAGCCCCAUCUCCUCUCUCUGCCAUCGGCAGCAGCACUGCUACCCAGGCAAAUCCUUUUUCUCCUGUUCCCCAAGUGAGGGCUCCUGACAGAAAGCCAGAGCUGAAGAUUAAAACAAUGGCAUGGAAUGGAAUCCUACACCUCUAAUUGGACAAAACCAGAGAAAAGUAUCAGAACGGGGCAAGAGGACAUCCACAGAGCAAGGAGGCACAGAGGUUGGCUUCAUAGCUGAGCACCCUUGAGUUGUCUCCUAACUUUUCUGUCUUGUAUCACAGUUCCCUACCCUCAACCCAUAGGGGAGUCAUGAGGAUCAAGGAAAUAAUCCAUGCAAAAAGCAUUUCCAAAGUUCCUGCCUUAAUUUUUUAAUCUAUAAAAUGGAUGGAGCAACAGCAUCUACCUCAUAGGGUUAUUGCAAAGGUUAAAUAUACAUAAAGCAUUUAGAAUAGGGGCAGAGUUAAGAGUAAGCAUUUAUGGCCAGAUGCGGUUGCUCACGCCUGUAAUCCCAACACUUUGGGAGGCCACGGUGGGUGGAUCAUGAGGUCAGGAGUUCGAGACCACCCUGGCCAACACGGUGAAACCCCAUCUCUACAAAAGAUACAAAAAAGUUAGCCUGGCGUGGUGGCGGGUGCCUGUAAUUCCAGCUACUCAGGAGGCUGAGGCAGGAGAAUCACUUGAACCCAGGAGGCGGAGGUUGCAGUGAGCUGAGAUCAGGCCAUUGUACUCUAGCCUGGACGACAGAGAGACUCCGUCUCAAAAAAAAAAAGAAAAAAAAAAAAGAGUAAGCAUUUAUAUAGGAUUUGUAUAAGCAUUCAUUAUUGUAACAAUCGGGUCUGGGCAGGGCAUACGUAGUGCAGAUAAGAGUUUAACUGAAGAGUUAUUUAAUGUUGAUACUAUUUACACAGGUGGUAGCAGGUUUCAGGAAUCAAUGAAGCAUGGUGAAAGGACCAAGAACUAGCCUGAGGCUGGAGCUGUGCAAGAGGCAAGGUGGGGAUUGGAGGAAUGAACACACCAACCUUUCUCUCCUCCCACCUUCUGAUCUCCUCUGUAUGUCUCCAUUGCCAAAUCAGCCAGAAGCAGAGGGCAAGUGAGCCCACAAGAAGCAGUCCAUGGGUUCAGUUUUGAGGGGCAUAGAGCUUGGAUCUGAUGGAGGAGAAAAACCAAGAUAACUAGCACAGCUAUUCUUAGCAGUGAAGUUGGCAUUAGUAUUAAUAUUAGUAUUAACCAUUGCAAAUUAAUAUUAUUGCUAUUACCAUUGUGUAUCUCUAGUAACAGGACCUGUUUCUUUUAUUAUAGAUCUGAGUUUUCGGCUUUGUGUAUAUUUUAUUUAACGGGGCCUGACUUUCUGUUUGAAGGAUUUGUUGAUGUGGCUCUUUUCAUUUGAGCAGCUGUUGUUGCCAGUGAAUUAAAGAGUAACCAGGGCUCAAAGUGAUUUGAGUCUGGUCCUGAUUUGGAAUCCACUGUGUGGAGCCCAUCCAUCCUUAGCAACCUCAGUUUCCUUUAUUAUAAAAAGGAAAAAAAAGUUAUAGCUCUUACAGCAGAGUUGUAAGAAAGACUACCCUGCCAGAACUGUUCAAAUAUGAGGAAUUGGCAAAUAUAAAAUUCUAAAAUAUUUCUUAAUAAUAUGCACAAGUUCUGACUUAACAAGCAUGGCAUAUUGUGACUACCCUGUUAAAAAAAUCCGCUGAUCAUUUUUCACAACUUAUUUAUUCUUGGUGCCUAUUUCCUUUCCAAGGAAGGAAAAGGGAUAAAAGAACUUUAACAUCUUUUUUCGUUACCAAGUGCUUUUUACAUUAUUCCUGAAAUUCACUUCUACACGCAGAAUAUAUUUAGGAG